rnacentral:rRNA from 1 species
CCUACGUGAGGCAGCAGUGGGGAAUAUUGCACAAUGGGGGAAACCCUGAUGCAGCGACGCCGCGUGAGUGAAGACGUAAUUCGUUAUGUAAAGCUCUAUUUGCAGGGAAGAAAAUGACGGUACCUGAGUAAGAAGCCCCGUCUAACUACGUGACAGCAGCCGCGGUAAUACGUAGGGGGCAAGCGUUAUCCGGAUUGACUGGGUGUAAAGGGAGCGUAGACGGCAGUGCAAGUCUGGAGUGAAAGGCGGGGGCUCAACCCCCGGACUGCACUGGAAACUGUACGGCUGGAGUGCAGGAGAGGUAAGUGGAAUUCCUAGUGUAGCGGUGAAAUGCGUAGAUAUUAGGAGGAACACCAGUGGCGAAGGCGGCUUACUGGACUGUAACUGACGUUGAGGCUCGAAAGCGUGGGGAGCAAACAGGAUUAGAUACCCGAGUAGUC